UUUAAUAUCGGUAGUAUCAGUAUUCAUAAUAUUAAAUAAAUAUUGUUAUAAACUAUUGGUGCAGAAUGUAGUAAAUCUGUUUUAAAGUGAAGAAUAAAAAACGUCAAAGUUUCGAUUAUUUCCAUUUUCACGCGCGCUUAGUGAUGAAAAUAUUUAUUAUUGUAACCUUCAUUUAUAUUUAUUUUUCAGCCUUUUUAUCAUAUUUUUGUUAUAUAUCGGGUUACUUCUGGUUAAGUAUUAUGAGCUUCAAUAUGUGGUGGACAUUCAGAAGAUUCUCUUCGUUAAAAAAAAGCAGCAGCCAAUCAGAAAAAAAAAGUUGGUAUAUUAUGCUAUUUUUGCGUACGGAUGUCCGUUUGUACUUGCUACUGUUUGUGUCAUCGUUGUGGAUUAUGUUUCCGAGUAUUUGUCAUAUAUUUUGAGACCAGAAUUCAAAAAGGGGCAUUGCUGGUACUCUGUCCAGAUUCAUUGGGAAGCACUUACAUUGUAUUAUUACUGGAUAAAAUUGUCUGUACUAUUAGUAGCAUUUGCUUAUCCAUCUCUGCGGCAAGAAACAUUAAACGCUGCGAAAAGGAUACAAACUUCAGUCUAACAGAUUCGGAAAACAAGCAAUUUAAUGACAAUAAGAAAUGGUGUGUAUUCUCACAUUUUGCGUCACUCUGUGAUAAUUUUUUAUUAUGUUAAUGAGGUUUCUGCAGAUAUAUUUUUGUCAAUAUCUCUGCCGACAUCACACACUUGCUUGAUUCGCAUUCCUGGUAAAAGGGGGAGAAAAUUAUAAUUGCAAAAAAUAUAUAUAU